GAUAGCCCGGGGAAACCCGGAUUAAUACCGUAUACCUCCUUCGGGAGAAAGAAGGCCUCUCUUUGAAGCUUUCGCUAUUAGAUGAGCCUGCGUAAGAUUAGCUUGUUGGUGAGGUAAAGGCUCACCAAGGCUACGAUCUUUAGCUGGUCUGAGAGGACGAUCAGCCACAUUGGGACUGAGACACGGCCCAGACUCCUACGGGAGGCAGCAGUGGGGAAUAUUGGACAAUGGGCGAAAGCCUGAUCCAGCCAUACCGCGUGUGUGAAGAAGGCCUUCGGGUUGUAAAGCACUUUAAGCA
rnacentral:rRNA from 1 species